UUAAAACCAGACCGUCUAGACUUCCAUCACUUUGCUGUGUUACCAUACUAUAAGUUGUGGUUAGGGAAGGAACUAAAUUGACAAGACUCUGAACUAAAAGGAGAAGGGAGAAAUGAGAAAAUGAGUGAUCCUAGAAACUAGAGAAGAUUUAGGCUCAGGAAUUUCUGGUGAUGAGACCUGGAAGAACAAGAACUUGGUUGGAAUAUUAACUUGGGGUAGUAUCUGAAUCCAUGGAGAAAUGGUUUUGUUUUCUGUAAGAUUUAGAAAGGUCAGUUGGAUGAAGAUUAAUGAAGACAAAAAACUUGGUUGGAAUAUUAACUUGGGGUAGUAUCUGAAUCCAUGGAGAAAUGGUUUUGUUUUCUGUAAGAUUUAGAAAGGUCAGUUGGAUGAAGAUUAAUGAAGACAAAAAACUUGGUUGGAAUAUUAACUUGGGGUAGUAUCUGAAUCCAUGGAGAAAUGGUUUUGUUUUCUGUAAGAUUUAGAAAGGUCAGUUGGAUGAAGAUUAAUGAAGACAAAAAACUUGGUUGGAAUAUUAACUUGGGGUAGUAUCUGAAUCCAUGGAGAAAUGGUUUUGUUUUCUGUAAGAUUUAGAAAGGUCAGUUGGAUGAAGAUUAAUGAAGACAAAAGUAGAAAGGAAAAGAAAAAGGUGCCUUAAGGGAGACAUAAC